ACCUAAUACACAGAACUGUGCCUACUAAAACACCAAAACACGUUAGAAAACAAGUCACUAUGAUUUUCAAUUAUUGAGUUUCAAGUUCGAAUUCCCUUAUCCCCGGUAAUCAUAAAUACAUGAGUUGCAUAACCAACGGUCCGAGCCAUUGCUCAGAGCAUUUCUCUUCUUCUUCUUCGCGGUCUUCAUCGAGCCUCCCGUGCCUUUCUUGAUCUUGUUCUUCUUCACCAUUGCCUUCCGCUGCUUGCAUUCCGAAUGCUCUGAAUUAGUAUCAUCAUCAUCCUCGUCACACAUGGUUUGGAAAUCUUUUUUCAAAGAAUUACGGAUCCUCUGCAUCAUUUCUCUGACAUGCUUGACAGCCAUUGUGUUCCUCUUCAGCGGAUGUUUCUUCUUUGGAUUGUAAUUGCCUUUCUUUUCCAC
rnacentral:lncRNA from 1 species